rnacentral:tRNA from 1 species
GGAUAUGUAGCUCAGUGGACAGAGUACCAGAUUCCGACUCUGGGGGUCGCGGGUUCGAUCCCCACCAUAUUCA